rnacentral:tRNA from 1 species
AACAAGAUGCCUGACAAAAGGGUUACUUUGAUAGAGUAAAUCAUGUAAGGAAACCUUACUCUUGUUA